rnacentral:rRNA from 1 species
GCUCGUAGGCGGUUCGUCACGUCGGCUGUGAAAUCCCGAGGCUCAACCUCGGGUCUGCAGUCGAUACGGGCGGACUGGAGUACUGCAGGGGAGACUGGAAUUCCUGGUGUAGCGGUGAAAUGCGCAGAUAUCAGGAGGAACACCGGUGGCGAAGGCGGGUCUCUGGGCAGUAACUGACGCUGAGGAGCGAAAGCGUGGGGAGCGAACAGGAUUAGAUACCCUGGUAGUCCACGCCGUAAACGUUGGGCGCUAGGUGUGGGGGCCAUUCCACGGUCUCCGUGCCGCAGCUAACGCAUUAAGCGCCCCGCCUGGGGAGUACGGCCGCAAGGCUAAAACUCAAAGGAAUUGACGGGGGCCCGCACAAGCGGCGGAGCAUGUUGCUUAAUUCGAUGCAACGCGAAGAACCUUACCUAGGCUUGACAUGCACGGAAAUCCUCCAGAGAUGGGGGGGUCCGUAAGGGCCGUGCACAGGUGGUGCAUGGUUGUCGUCAGCUCGUGUCGUGAGAUGUUGGGUUAAGUCCCGCAACGAGCGCAACCCUCGUUCCAUGUU